AUUGAACGCUGGCGGCAUGCCUUACACAUGCAAGUCGAACGGCAGCACGGGAGCAAUCCUGGUGGCGAGUGGCGAACGGGUGAGUAAUAUAUCGGAACGUGCCCAGUAGUGGGGGAUAACUGCUCGAAAGAGCAGCUAAUACCGCAUACGACCUGAGGGAGUAAGGGGGGGAUCGCAAGACCUCUCGCUAUUGGAGCGGCCGAUAUCAGAUUAGCUAGUUGGUGGGGUAAAGGCCUACCAAGGCAACGAUCUGUAGUUGGUCUGAGAGGACGACCAGCCACACUGGGACUGAGACACGGCCCAGACUCCUACGGGAGGCAGCAGUGGGGAAUUUUGGACAAUGGGCGCAAGCCUGAUCCAGCAAUGCCGCGUGCAGGAAGAAGGCCUUCGGGUUGUAAACUGCUUUUGUCAGGGAAGAAAUCCUCUAGGUUAAUACCCUUGGGGGGAUGACGGUACCUGAAGAAUAAGCACCGGCUAACUACGUGCCAGCAGCCGCAGUAACAC
rnacentral:rRNA from 1 species